GACGAACGCUGGCGGCGUGCUUAACACAUGCAAGUCGAGCGGAAAGGCCCCUUCGGGGGUACUCGAGCGGCGAACGGGUGAGUAACACGUGAGUAAUCUGCCCUUCACUUCGGGAUAGCCCCGGGAAACUGGGAUUAAUACCGGAUAUGACGCGCCCCUGCAGGGGGGUGUGUGGAAAGUUUUUUCGGUGGGGGAUGUGCUCGCGGCCUAUCAGCUUGGUGGUGGGGUAAUGGCCUACCAAGGCUCCGACGGGUAGCCGGCAUGAGAGGGUGACCGGCCACACUGGGACUGAGACACGGCCCAGACUCCUACGGGAGGCAGCAGUGGGGAAUAUUGGACAAUGGGCGGAAGCCUGAUCCAGCAACGCCGCGUGAGGGAUGACGGCCUUCGGGUUGUAAACCUCUUUCAGCGCCGACGAAGCGAGAGUGACGGUAGGCGCAGAAGAAGCACCGGCCAACUACGUGCCAGCCGCCGCAGUAACAC
rnacentral:rRNA from 1 species